rnacentral:rRNA from 1 species
GUGCCAGCAGCCGCGGUAAUACAGAGGUGGCAAGCGUUGUUCGGAAUUACUGGGCGUAAAGGGCGAGUAGGCGGCGUUCUAAGUCAGACGUGAAAUCCCCCGGCUUAACCUGGGAACUGCGUCUGAUACUGGGAGGCUAGAGUAUGGGAGAGGGAUGUGGAAUUCCAGGUGUAGCGGUGAAAUGCGUAGAUAUCUGGAGGAACACCGGUGGCGAAGGCGGCAUCCUGGACCAUAACUGACGCUGAUCCGCGAAAGCUAGGGGAGCAAACGGGAUUAGAUACCCGCGUAGUCC